rnacentral:sRNA from 1 species
GAAGCACUAAAUUUACCAUUUCGAUAGUAAAUGCUACCGGCAUAACUUCAACGUGUAGUUCAGGUAACAUAUUCACCAUCAAAAUCGU